UCUAAGCGGGAAGCCUCCUCCAAGAUGAAUUUUCCCAUUCUUCGUGAAGUAAGAUUCCUUGAAGACUACAAGGUUGAUAGGCUAGAGGUGGAAGCGUAGUGAUACGUUGAGCUGACUAGUACUAAUAAAUCGAGGAUUUAACUAAUUAUUAUU
rnacentral:rRNA from 1 species